CCUACGGGAGGCAGCAGUGGGGAAUAUUGCACAAUGGGCGAAAGCCUGAUGCAGCAACGCCGCGUGAAGGAAGAAGGCCUUCGGGUCGGAAACUUCGGUCCGUGGGGAAGAAGAACUGACGGUACCCAAGGAGGAAGCCCCGGCUAACUACGGGCCAGCAGCCGCGGUAAUACGUGGGGGGCAAGCGUUAUCCGGAAUUAUGGGGCGAAAAGAGUACGUAGGUGGAAACCUAAGCGCAGGGUUUAAGGGAAUGGCUCAACCAUUGUUCGCCCUUCGAACUGGGAUGCUGGAGUGCAGGCGAGGGAAGCGGAAUUCCUAGUGUAGCGGUGAAAUGCGUAGAUAUUAGGAGGAACACCAGUGGCGAAGGCGGCUUUCUGGACUGUAACUGACACUGAGGUACGAAAGCGUGGGGAGCAAACAGGAUUAGAUACCCGUGUAGUC
rnacentral:rRNA from 1 species